rnacentral:sRNA from 2 species
CAAGCACCUCGGUAGGUGAGGCGUCUGCACGGACACAGGCCACUGACCCCGAACGUCGAGAGACGCCCCGGGUCAGGACAGCUCUUCCCGGACCCAAGGGUUGAGCCCAAGUGGCUUCCGGACCACCAAUGAUGGUCGGAUACGCCGUGCAGUGCCGAAGCUCCGACGAGGGGGUGUUGU